rnacentral:rRNA from 1 species
UACUCCUACGGGAGGCAGCAGUAGGGAAUCUUGCGCAAUGGGCGAAAGCCUGACGCAGCCAUGCCGCGUGAAUGAUGAAGGUCUUAGAAUUGUAAAAUUCUUUCACCGGGGAAGAUAAUGACGGUACCCGGAGAAGAAGCCCCGGCUAACUUCGUGCCAGCAGCCGCGGUAAU